rfam:Papilio xuthus contig17249, whole genome shotgun sequence.
GCGUCGGUGGCUCAGUGGUUAAGCACUUGACUUGCAAUCUACAGGUCCUGGGUUCGAAUCCCCCCCAUGUA